rnacentral:lncRNA from 1 species
CUUCCCUGUCUUGUUCCUGGGCGCAGAGGGCUCCUCCGGCGCCGCCGAGCUGCGCCCGCUGCCUUCACACCCCGGACAUCCGCGCCACACGAGCUUGCUCAGCUGGGUCCAUCCUGUGGACAAGCCCGAGCGGCAGCGGUAGCGGCCCUGGGUGUCACCCGUCAGCAGGAACUGGUGCUUGAUGGCAGGGACCCAGACCCCAGGAGGCCUCACCCCACAGCAAGAGAAAGACCACGAGCAUGGACAUGAUGGUCGCGCUCACUCCGGUGCAGUGAGUGUCUGGGUGAUGGAUCCUAGAACCUGUUCUAGAAGGAGACGCUGAGUUCUCCCCACUCUACCUGGAGCUGCUGAGGUCAAGUGGAGAGUGCCGGGGCUGAAGCCCAGCGAGCCCCUCCCUGUCACACCACACUGCACAUGUGACACCAAAGGCAUUUAUUGAGCAUCUACUGUGUGCCAGAUGCAAAGAAGACAGUGGGAUAACUGGGCAAGGAGCAUUCCAGGCAGAGGGAACAGCCAGUGCAAACAUGGGAGAUGCGGGUGCAGUGAGAAGGAGCAGAGGAGACCAGGAGUUGAGGCGACUGCAGAGCGAUUGCAGAGCUCAUAGACGUGAUGAAGACCAGCUGGGCACUGCAGCGGCUCUGGCUUCUGCUGUGAGGGACGGGGAGCUGUGGAGACUCCCUCUGUUUGGUCCCAUUUCCAUAUUGCUGAGCACCUGCUGCAUGCUCUCUGUCCUGCUCAGAGCCAGUACCUGGAUGGAGGCUGUGUGUUCUGGGUGGACUGGGGGAGAAUGCAUUCUUUGCAGAAGAGACAACCAGGUGCUGAGGCCUGAAGUCAUAACCAGACCUGGGGCACUCAGACAAGGACUGGUGGCCAGGCCAGAGGAGCAGAGCUCAGGGUGUGCACAGAACUCAGAAGUCAGACCACUGAACAGUGACAGAACCUUUCAGCCCAUUGGCAAUGAGGCUGCCCAGGCAGCCAGAGGCCUGGUCAAAUCUGAGGUCUGCAGAGAUGGAGCUGUCAUUCUGUGUUUCCUUUGGCAGUCCCAACACCAGCCUCGUUGCACCCUCCUCUUAGCUUCCCUGGGUUCUCCAGCCCUAAGGGUGGUAGCAGCUUCCUGCAAGUAUCCAGCUCUGAGAUUCUGCAACAUCCACUUUUGCUCUCUGAGCCUUGCAAAACCUGCACAAUCAGUCCCUAACUUAUAUCCCCUCUGUUUGAAAUACCUAGUGUGGUUUCUAUUUCCUGACUUGACUCUGACUGGUGUGGUACUUGGUAUAAAGAAGGUUCCCUGGCCAGGUGCGGUGGCUCACGCCUAUAAUCCC